GGGAGGAGGAGGAGGGAGUGCCGUCCGGUAGAACAGGUCUGGGUGAGGCGGUCAAGCGAGCUUCACUCACUGUGUGAAAAGGAAAGAGAGCAGAGAGAUUUGUUGUUUCCUUCACUUAAAGUUUCUCCUGCAGAGAAGAAGAAGAAGAAGAAGAAGAAGAAGAAGAAGAAGAAGAAGGAGAAGAAUAAGAAGUAGGAGAAGAAAUAAACGUCUGAACAGACCUCUCUCCUGAUUGGACGGCUGGCUGAUUAAUUGAUUGGCUGGUUGGUUUUAGCCCCGCCUUCUUCCCCAUCAUGUCAACAAACAUCAACCUAUCACUGGACAAUCCGUAUGGUCAGGUGACCAUCCCGCGGGCAAAGCUUCGCCCCUCAGAUGAUGUGGCCACGGUGAUAGCCAAUCCGAUGACAGUGAGCAGUAACGAUGUCAAUCCCUAUAACUCCGCCCCCCCGCCGCCAUAUAUGGUGAAGGAAGAUGGAGGGGAGGAGGAGGGGGGAGGGCGGUGCCACGCCUGCUGCUACAGAUGCAGGAGGAAGUGACAUCACCACAGACAAAGGAAGUGACAUCACCACAGACAGAGUGACAUCAUCGCAGUUGAAGGGAGGAAGUGACAUCAUCGCAGUUAAAGGGAGGAAGUGACAUCAUCGCAGAAUAAAAGAAUCCUUAGUUCUAAAUAAUAAAUCAUAAAUAAAUCCUUAUAUAUGUAAUAACCUGAUCAGACUCUUGAUGAAUGUUAUUAUUCUGGGAUGUAUUUCAAGAACACGCCUCCUUUCUGCUUCGUUAACGGUUGUUAAUCAGAACAAAUUGCAGGAGCUGGAUUGUUGGUUUUGUAAAGAUUUUAUAUUUUAUCCUGGAAAUGAUUCAUUUUGUUUUUUUCCAGAAAGUAUUUAUAUUUUUCUUGACAAUGAUUUUGAACAUUUAAGAAUGAAGGAGUUUAAGUAUAAAUACAAGAAUAAAGUUUAUGGAGUUGAAUAAAAUCUGAUAAUGAGA